CCGCCCAACUUCCUUGCUGGCUGUAUUUACUUUAGGGCUCCCAGGAGAGUCAUUGUUCUGGAGUGGCCAUACCCUCCUGUGUUUUUUAGAAAGCUGUGAAUUCCAGUAAGUGGAAGUGCAAUAGUUUCGAUUCCUUCUUAUCAGGACAAAGACCUUGGCUCUGCCAGUGAGAGUUCAGCUGGGGCAGAGGUGAAGGAGGCCAAGCCGGCAGUGGGGUGGGGGGGAAGCCUGCAACCCUGUCCUGACACCGUCCCUCCCCUGCCUCAUGAAGGGGUCCUCUCUCCUUCCCCUUCCCCUUCCAAGCUAAGCCUACACGCUCGCCUCCCCACCAUUCCUUCUAAGUAAGUGUUCAACUUUGAUUCCUGCCCUGGGAAGGAGUGACUCGGUCAGCAGCCCCUGUGGAGGAAGGUCAGGCCUGGGGUGAAGGUGGAACUCACACUGGGUGCCCUACAGACACUCCAAGGAAGGCUGGCACCCUUUCAUUUGCCCUGUAGUAACCCCGACACGAGAGCCCAUUGGCGCCUCUGAGCCUUCACCGAGAAGAGACUAAGGAAAAAAGGGUUAGCCAAGGCAGUGGGGGGACCUGUGGAUGGAUGUGGUCCACACAGCAUGAAAUGCCCAGGCAGUGGGAGAGGCAGCCAGCCCUGGAGGUGAUCUCAACCAGGCUGUAAGAUCAUCGGAGGGGGACUUCGUAUUGCAUGGUCUCUUCUCAGGGAUGCAGUAGCGCCCCCUUAUCCGCAGUUUCGGUUACCCGCGGCAACUGUGGGCCAGAAGCGUAGGAUCCUCAUUCUGGCAUGUUGUCAGGAGGUCAGGCAUAGCCUAAGGCCAUGUCCCUCGCCUCCAGCUCCCUCGCAGGCAUUUCAUCCUCUGGAGUCACAAGGAGAAGGGCGAGUACAGUAAAAUAUUUUGAGAGAGAGAGAGAGGACCCACAUUCACCUUUUAUUAUAGUAUAUUGUAAUUCUAUCUUAUUAUUACUGUAAUCUUUCACUGUGCCGAAUGUAUCGAUUCAGCUUUAUGCGUACAUACGUACAGGAAAAAAAGUACUAUAUAUACAGGCGUUGAUAUACCUAAGACCUCAACCAUAUCUUUGGGGUCCUGGGACAUAUCCCGUGGCGAAAAGGGGAGCAUACUGUAUAUGAUAUCUUUCCUUUUAAAAAAAAUUACUUGUUUUAUUUAUUUAGAUCCAAGCCAGUUAACAUGUAGUGUGAUAUAUAUCUUUCUGGCUGACAGACAGCAAACCUGUUGUUUGCUUUUUAAAAAUUUUUUUUAAAUUUUGAACUGUACAGGGAGUUGAGUUCCCCGGGCCUCUCUCAAACUGUGUUUUAGAGAUCGAGGUAUACUUUGCACACAAGCGGAGAGUGUAGAAGGUGAAGCGCGUAGCUUGGUGAGUUUUGACAGGCACACACACCCAAGGAGUCCGUAUCCUCUUGAGACAGAGAGCAUUUCUAUCACCCCAGAAAGAUCCCUCCUGCCCCUUCCCAGUGGCAGCCACUGUUUGAUCUCUUUCCUCGUAGGUUAGUUGGGUCUUGUCCAGAACUUCCUGGAAACGGAAGCAUUCGGUGUGUACGUUUUGUGUCCGGCUUCUUUUCCUCGGCAUCAUAUAUUGGAGACUUACCUAAAAUGUGUUUAUCAGUAGUUCCAUUUUAUUACUGUAUUCUGUUGUGUGACGACAACGUGUUCAUCUGUUUGCCUUUUGAGGGCUACUUGGGCUAUAAGAUCCGUACACAUGUCGCGGUGCGGACAUACGAUUUUAUUUACUGUGAGUAAAUCCCGAGGAGUGGAAUUUUGAGGCCACAAAAGAGGAACCCGUAAUUGGGGGAGCUUGCAAAGUGGUCUCCUCUGUCUGCUGGCACAGUCUGAAGUCACCAAAGCGGGCAGUCAGGAUGGGGACGGGGACGUGAAGGGGUGCGUGUGGAGCCAGAACGAACUGUCACGCGAGAGAAUGGGUGGAACCCAUGAGGAUACAGCCCGCACCAUUCUCUCACUGCGUCCACGCCUCUAUCGUUGGUGAUGAGCGCGUCCGGCAAGAGACGCAUGAGCCCUCCAGUCACACAUCUAAACGUGCCCCGGGAACAGAAUUAGGAGCAGCUGAAGGAGGAGAUACAGCGGUGCCGAACGCAGGCCCAGCCGCCAGCCCCACACCAGCAGGACAGCGAGCAGGUGAGUAACAACACGCGUGAGCCUUCCGGGCGUGGAAAGGGUAUGGGUGAGAUUUCAGUUCCUCCUUCCAAACUGCGUGUAAAACUCCUUUUGUGGCCCCUUCACAUCCAAAACUUGCAAA